rnacentral:lncRNA from 1 species
AUGAGCCAAUGAGAGUCAUAACAAGAGCGGUGCCAACAACAACAGACAACAGGCAGGAGUGAUAGAGGCAGAUUAGGCCGGAAAAAAAAGGGGGUUAUGGAGGAAUAAAGCCACCAAAUUCAACCUUCUAUUGACCGUGAGCCACUUCGACAAAAUUAAACUUUCGUCACUGCUAGGCUUAAUCACAAAGAAACAUAGUAGCGAUCUUCAGGCGAAUAGAACUAACCUGGGUGGAAUCUUCUCUUAAGAGUAAAGCACCGUCAAAAAAUGUGCAUAGGUGUAUGAGAAUUGUGUUUCAGUCACAGUCCAGAAUUAGUGGACAAAGGCAGUUUCGUCCACUGAGCCUCAAACUGCGGGGCAUUUUCAAAGGAGAUGCCAUGGAUAAAUCUUCACUAGGCCAUCUUAAAAUCAUAAAUUUCUCAAAUAUGGGAAUGGAAACAGUAGUAAUCGAAUACAUACACCACGAUCAUAGAAUCAGAGAAUCCACAAAAGUCGUAAUUUCUCUACGUUCACUCUGGUUACGCCAGAAAAAUCUGAUCGAAACUAUUAUAUCAAUGGUAGAUGUUUCAGGGUAAUAGGUAUCUAGGUACCUAAACCUCUUUAACUCCGACAGUCCAUCUUAACCAGGAAGUGAAUCGUUGUAACCGAAACAAAGCCACCGAAAGAAAACUAACAGGGGCACUAGGAAAUUCUCAGGUGUGCGAAUUUACUCCCCUUUUAGUCAUCACAGAAGGUAUACAAUGUAUCAGACAGCCUCUUCCCAACCCAUUCCAUUCAAGAACUCCAGCUCAUAUAGAUCAAGGAUACAGGAACCAGAAGACAAACAAGUUCCCGAAAGAAAACAGAGAGCAAAGAAGAUACUAAGCUUGAAAACCUUACCUGGAAACUACGGGCUUGCAAACCUUAAACCUCCAAUAAAAAGACCUACACGUCUUGUGUUUGAAACCCUAAAGCCACGUUCGCAGACAGACAACUUCUUGCUCCCUAUAUCAAGGGCGAAUGCAGAGCAGAGGUGGGAAAAGAAGCACCAGCGGGUUGUGACCGACGGAUGCAUUCACCAGCCAUGAAACGGUAAGAUGAAGAGGUAGAGGUUGGAAGAAACAGAGAAGGAGACCAGAACAGAGAGAGAGAGAGAGAGAGAGAGAGGNNNN